GAACGCUGGCGGCGUGCUUAACACAUGCAAGUCGAACGAAGCACUUUUGACAGAUUCUUCGGAUGAUGGAUUUAGUGACUGAGUGGCGGACGGGUGAGUAACGCGUGGGUAACCUGCCUCAUACAGGGGGAUAACAGUUAGAAAUGACUGCUAAUACCGCAUAAGCGCACAGUACCGCAUGGUACAGUGUGAAAAACUCCGGUGGUAUGAGAUGGACCCGCGUCUGAUUAGCUAGUUGGUGGGGUAACGGCUCACCAAGGCAACGAUCAGUAGCCGGCCUGAGAGGGUGAACGGCCACAUUGGGACUGAGACACGGCCCAAACUCCUACGGGAGGCAGCAGUGGGGAAUAUUGCACAAUGGGGGAAACCCUGAUGCAGCGACGCCGCGUGAGCGAUGAAGUAUUUCGGUAUGUAAAGCUCUAUCAGCAGGGAAGAAAAUGACGGUACCUGACUAAGAAGCACCGGCUAAAUACGUG
rnacentral:rRNA from 1 species